rnacentral:rRNA from 1 species
GAUGAACGCUAGCGGGAGGCUUAAUACAUGCAAGUCGAGCGAGAACCUUUCCUUCGGGAGAGCGGAAAGCGGCGCACGGGUGAGUAACGCGUACGCAAUCUACCCCUCAGAGUGGGAUAGCCCCGGGAAACUGGGAUUAAUACCGCAUAGUCUGAGUUAUCGCAUGGUAACUUUAGUAAAGUUCCGGCGCUGAGGGAUGAGCGUGCGUGCUAUUAGUUAGUUGGUGAGGUAACGGCUCACCAAGACGAUGAUAGCUAGGGGGCGUGAGAGCGUGAUCCCCCACACGGGUACUGAGACACGGACCCGACUCCUACGGGAGGCAGCAGUAAGGAAUAUUGGACAAUGGGCGAAAGCCUGAUCCAGCCAUCCCGCGUGAAGGAUGACGGCGCUACGCGUUGUAAACUUCUUUUGGUCAAGAUGAAAAAUUGGCAUUUAUGCUGAUCUGACGUUAUUGGCAGAAUAAGCACCGGCUAACUCCG